rnacentral:tRNA from 1 species
GAGGGUAUAGCUCAGUAGUAGAGUGCUUGUUUAGCAUGCAUAAGGUCCUGGGUUCAAUCCCCAGCACCUCCA